rnacentral:rRNA from 1 species
GGACCCGACUGCUAUCAGAGUGGGACCAAGCCAUGCGAGUCAACAUAGCAAUAUGUGGCAUACGGCUCAGUAACACGUAGUCAACAUGCCCAGGGGACGUGGAUAACCUCGGGAAACUGAGGAUAAACCGCGAUAGGUCAUCACUUCUGGAAUGGGUAAUGACUUAAACCUAUAUGGCCCCUGGAUUGGACUGCGGCCGAUCAGGCUGUUGGUGAGGUAAUGGCCCACCAAACCUGUAACCGGUACGGGCUCUGAGAGGAGGAGCCCGGAGAUGGGCACUGAGACAAGGGCCCAGGCCCUAUGGGGCGCAGCAGGCGCGAAACCUCUGCAAUAGGCGAAAGCUUGACAGGGUUACUCUGAGUGAUUUCCGUUAAGGAGAUCUUUUGGCACCUCUAAAAAUGGUGCAGAAUAAGGGGUGGGCAAGUCUGGUGUCAGCCGCCGCGGUAAUACCAGCACCCCGAGUGGUCGGGACGUUUAUUGGGCCUAAAGCAUCCGUAGCCGGUUCUACAAGUCUUCCGUUAAAUCCACCUGCUUAACAGAUGGGCUGCGGAAGAUACUAUAGAGCUAGGAGGCGGGAGAGGCAAGCGGUACUCGAUGGGUAGGGGUAAAAUCCGUUGAUCCAUUGAAGACCACCAGUGGCGAAGGCGGCUUGCCAGGACGCGCUCGACGGUGAGGGAUGAAAGCUGGGGGAGCAAACCGGAUUAGAUACCCGGGUAGUCCCAGCUGUAAACGAUGCAGACUCGGUGAUGAGUUGGCUUAUUGCUAACUCAGUGCCGCAGGGAAGCCGUUAAGUUUGCCGCCUGGGGAGUACGGUCGCAAGACUGAAACUUAAAGGAAUUGGCGGGGGAGCACCACAAGGGGUGAAGCCUGCGGUUCAAUUGGAGUCAACGCCGGAAAUCUUACCGGGGGCGACAGCAGAGUGAAGGUCAAGCUGAAGACUUUACCAGACAAGCUGAGAGGAGGUGCAUGGCCGUCGCCAGCUCGUGCCGUGAGGUGUCCUGUUAAGUCAG